rnacentral:rRNA from 1 species
AUUGAACGCUGGCGGCAGGCCUAACACAUGCAAGUCGAGCGAGCGGCGGACGGGUGUGUAAUGUCUGGGAAACUGCUUGAUGGAGGGGGAUAACUACUGGAAACGGUAGCUAAUACUGCAUACCAUCAGAUGUUCCCCGAUGGGUUUAGCUAGUAGGGGGGGUAACGGCUCACCUAGGCGACGAUCCCUCGCUGGUCUGAGAGGAUGACCAGCCAAACUGGAACUGAGACACGGUCCAGACUCCUACGGGAGGCAGAAGUGGGGAAUAUUGCACAAUGGGCGCAAGCCUGAUGCAGCAAGGCCGCGUGGGUGAAGAAGGCCUUCGGGUUGUAAAGCACUUUCAGCGGGGAGGCGUUACCCGCAGAAGAAGCACCGGCUAACUCCGUGCCAGCAGCCGCGGUAAUUC